AGAAAUUGUUGAAAAAGUGAAGCAGAAAUACAUGUAUGAUGAGCAAAGGGUCAGUGAGAAGGAAAGAAGUUAUCGGAAUGAUGACAAUACUUCAAGUGAUGAAAAGAGUGACAUUUCACAGUGGACAGUAAGAAAUGAAGAUAUUGAUGGAAAGAAUUGUAAAGAAAUGCAGUCUAAUGAUUGCAGUGUUGAGCCAAGCUUAAAAAGUGGACCCACAUCACAAAUUAUGAGAGCAGAGUAAGAUAUUUAUUUGGGACAAAAUAAUGAUAUGUUCUACUGUAAUAUCAU